AAAAAAGAGUAAAUACCAUUGAGGAGCUGGAAGAGCUGGAGGCCUUUCUGGGGAAUGAUAGACAGAGGGCAUCAUCGGUUCAAGUACUGGCAAAAGUGGGGGGUAAAAAAAUACGAGACAACACUAAAAAGAUAUUGGACAGGAUUCUGACAAACAAGACAAUGGCCAUGUUCAACAUGAGGGGUGGUGGCCAAAAAAACAAAAAGGGCCUUCAGGAACACUACCCUGUACUCUGAAUAAAGAUGCUGUCAUAAGGUCCAGACCAAGCGCCACGGAGGCCGAUAUUAACAGCUCAAUAGGAGACCACCUGAAACAGGCGCCGGGGAGGAGAGGUGGUGGUGGUGGUGUUUUUUGAAUUAUUUAUUUCCUUGUAUUUUUUUUUUUUUUUUUUUUUUUUUGAAAGUUUGAAAAAAGUGUAUUUUGAAAGCUUUAUCUGACUUUUUCCUUGGGUAAAGAGGGACACAACA